UUGUGCUCUCUCACAUAUGCUAAAUUGGAACUGCACAGAAAAGAUUAGCCCUGCCUGUGCACUGGGUGAUAUGCAGAUCUCUGAAGCAUUCCAUAGUUUU
rnacentral:snRNA from 1 species